ACGGGAGGCAGCAGUGGGGAAUAUUGCACAAUGGGCGAAAGCCUGAUGCAGCGACGCCGCGUGAGUGAUGAAGUAUUUCGGUAUGUAAAGCUCUAUCAGCAGGGAAGAUAAUGACGGUACCUGACUAAGAAGCACCGGCUAAAUACGUGCCAGCAGCCGCGGUAAUACGUAUGGUGCAAGCGUUAUCCGGAUUUACUGGGUGUAAAGGGAGCGCAGGCGGUACGGCAAGUCUGAUGUGAAAGCCCGGGGCGCAACCCCGGUACUGCAUUGGAAACUGUCGAACUAGAGUGUCGGAGGGGUAAGUGGAAUUCCUAGUGUAGCGGUGAAAUGCGUAGAUAUUAGGAGGAACACCAGUGGCGAAGGCGACUUACUGGACGAUAACUGACGCUGAGGCUCGAAAGCGUGGGGAGCAAACAGGAUUAGAUACCCUGGUA
rnacentral:rRNA from 1 species